CGGGUGGCCCGCGGCUCCGGGAAGUCCCAGCAGGCCCUAAGUCCCCGGGCUGCGGUGCGGGCCGGCGAUCUCUGAGCUUCCUGCAGGCGCUGCGGCGCGCGCUCCCACCGUUCCCUCCCCCUCGCGCUCGGGUUACAGCAGCCGCGGACUCCUGAGAGCGUGGCCUGGCGUCCGCACAGGGUGGAAUUCGUAUUUGGCCAGGAAUCCGGACUCCGAUCAUCCCAGGAGACGCGGACCGGGGGCCUCCAGAGCUCUCCGGAGCGUGCUGCCGCUCCCCACCAGCCACCAGGGACUCGGAGGCCCUUCCUGGGUCCGGAGAAGCGACGGGGACACUUAGGGGAAAACUUUGCCAACUUCGCUCUUGGCGCGGAAGAGGCCGCUGGCCGGAAUGGUGCAGCAGCGGCGGCGGGCCGCGACGCGCAGGGUGGGCCCCGGGCCAGUGCUGGGCACCCUGGAGCGCGUCGGGAUGCCCAAAGUGGGGCGUGAGGCCGGUGGGCUCUUUGCUCCUCCGCUUCGCCCCUGCGCCUCCCGCGACCCGUCUCACUUCCCUGCGUCUCUGAGCGGCCCGAGAGGCGCAGCGCUCAGAGUGGCCUUGAUGGAAGAACCUGGCCCUCGGCGGGAACGAUUUUCUUUUGCUUUACCUCUUCUGGAUCAGCCGUUUUCCACCUGACUUGAGCAGCCCCCUCCCCCAUGCCUUUUUUUUCUCGUUCCCUCCGUCUGUCCUCACAAUUUCCUCUAUCUUCGAUUUCUAGAUCAUUCGCUUUUCUUCUCUUUCCUCCGCUUCCUCAUUGUGCUGUUUUUAUGCCUUUGCCCUGGACCACUUUUCAGUUCACUUUUCUCCCUUCUGCUCCCUCCCUCACCCCCUUCUUAAUGUCUCUUUUUUCCUCGCCCUGAGUCUGUGACUGUGUCCCUUUCCCCCAUCUGCAGUUGCCGUUUUUGAUUUUCUUUCUUUCCUCCCCACUUCCAUCCGGAUCCUCUCCUAUUUCCUCCUUGGAUUUCUGUCUCUCAGGUUCUGUCUCUCAGGUUCUCCUCUCCGUAAAUAUUCUCUCCUCUCCCUCUCCGGGAUCCGUCCCCUCCCCCACGUGGAUCUGCCUCCCCGGCGCCCCCUCCUCAUUCAUCCUGGGAGAUGAAUUUGUCGCCUUAUUGGACGCCGAGGCCAGAGCCGUGUGAGGGGGCUCGGCCAGCGCUGUGCAUUUUCUUCAUGCAUAUUGAGGAGAUGGUAAUGAGCGCGUUUGCAUUGUUGCUUGGAAAUGUUGUGUUUCCUGCCGCAGUUCGCAGUUCGGAGUGGGCGAGGGUGGUGUGGGCCCAGGACAGCCCCUCAGUAGGCACCCGGCCUGGCGGCCGCCGCUGACCCUCUCCGGAUUCCCGGGCUCUGGGGGCCGGGGGAGGAAGCGACCUUGCCGAGCUCCUGACCCGGCCGCCGCCUCCUCCUCCGGUUUGUCCACAAAGGCCGUCGCGCUCCCCUCAUUAAAGCCUCGUUACAGGAACCCCCGGCUGGCUCGCGACGGCUCCUCCGAGCCCCCCUGCCCACCGGCCUCUGAGCCCCUCCCCUGAUUUGAGAGGCCUGUGAUGGAGCGCCACCAGAAAAUUAGUGCCUGACAACGUCGUCUAUUGGCAAUAAAUUGAGAUUCCAAGUGACACGUCGCGGGAUCAAACACAGCCACAUUGUUGUGUACCCUGCUCCGCUCGCUCCUCGUUAAUCUUGGAGGGCGCCUUGGCAUCGCUUGGCCAGGGGAGGUUGUAGGCAGGCCUUUCGGCUGUCAGGACUCGGAUCCUGCCUCUGCCCUGGCUGAGCCCACUUCAGUCAUUCAGGAGGGACUGACUGCCCCUCCCUGAUAAGGUCCAAGGCGCUCAGGAGGCGUGACCCAGGAACGCCUUUCAAUAAGCUGAAGGUUUAUUAAAGUCAGGAGCUUCGAGGGGCAAACUCUGAGUUAAGCUUGUGGGGAAUCGACGUGAGCCUUGCUGGGAAUUCAGAACAUCAAGGUCUGGCCUUGUCUGGAAUUGUCUGGUGUCGAGUUUCCCAAACUUCAAGCUUCCCGCUACUACCUUUAUUAUUUACUUAACAUUUUUCCUUAAAUUGACUCAUUUUUAAAAUCAAAGUACAUAUUUUUGGAAAGAAAAUCUGAUACUACCACUGUAAAUUGAAAAGUAGCUGUUACUCACCAGAAAAGGAAGUGGUAAAAGAUAAACACAGCUAAAACCAAGCAAUGUUAAUACAUGUUAGCCGUUUUGCUGGCUUGGAAAGACUCCUAGAGGCUCAGCUGUGAUGCCACGAGAAUACUCAGAUAGCACACGGACAGGCCCACAUGGCAAUGAAUUGCAACUUGCCAGCAACCAUGUGGGUUAGCUUGAAGUGAAUUCUCUAGUCCUGUGUCUUCAGGUGACUGUAGCCCUGGCUGACCAUGUGACUGAACCUGAGGAGAAGCUGAGCCAAAGGCACACAGAUAAGCUGCACCUGGAUUCCUGACUACAGAAACUGUGAAGUAAUAAAUGUUUGCUGUUCAAAGCCAAGGGUUGGCAAAAUAUAUUCCACUUGUUUCUGUAAAUAAAGUUUUACUGGAACACGGUAAUGUUCACUAAUGUGCCUAUUGUUAUGGCUGCUUUCAUACUUCAACAGUAGUAGCUAUUGAGUAGUUGCAGCAAAAGACUAUAUGUCCACAGGACUAAAAUAUUUACUAUGUGGCCCUU
rnacentral:lncRNA from 10 species